GACCGCUCAGGAUAAUCGAUUAUCCCGUGCGGUACAAUAAGGACGACCGCAUUGGAUAAUCUAUUAUCCUGUGCGGUC
rnacentral:pre_miRNA from 13 species